rnacentral:rRNA from 1 species
CAUGCAGUCGAGCGAACAGAUAAGGAGCUUGCUCCUUUGAAGUUAGCGGCGGACGGGUGAGUAACACGUGGGUAACCUACCUAUAAGACUGGGAUAACUUCGGGAAACCGGAGCUAAUACCGGAUAACAUUUAGAACCGCAUGGUUCUAAAGUGAAAGAUGGUUUUGCUAUCACUUAUAGAUGGACCCGCGCCGUAUUAGCUAGUUGGUAAGGUAACGGCUUACCAAGGCGACGAUACGUAGCCGACCUGAGAGGGUGAUCGGCCACACUGGAACUGAGACACGGUCCAGACUCCUACGGGAGGCAGCAGUAGGGAAUCUUCCGCAAUGGGCGAAAGCCUGACGGAGCAACGCCGCGUGAGUGAUGAAGGGUUUCGGCUCGUAAAACUCUGUUAUUAGGGAAGAACAAAUGUGUAAGUAACUGUGCACAUCUUGACGGUACCUAAUCAGAAAGCCACGGCUAACUACGUGCCAGCAGCCGCGGUAAUACGUAGGUGGCAAGCGUUAUCCGGAAUUAUUGGGCGUAAAGCGCGCGUAGGCGGUUUCUUAAGUCUGAUGUGAAAGCCCACGGCUCAACCGUGGAGGGUCAUUGGAAACUGGGAAACUUGAGUGCAGAAGAGGAAAGUGGAAUUCCAUGUGUAGCGGUGAAAUGCGCAGAGAUAUGGAGGAACACCAGUGGCGAAGGCGACUUUCUGGUCUGUAACUGACGCUGAUGUGCGAAAGCGUGGGGAUCAAACAGGAUUAGAUACCCUGGUAGUCCACGCCGUAAACGAUGAGUGCUAAGUGUUAGGGGGUUUCCGC